rnacentral:lncRNA from 1 species
UGCAGGAGUGGAAGUGAAGGCACAGAAGAGAAAAUAGAGUGCCCGCCUACCCUCCUUACUGUAGGAACUCGAAAUACAUUUUUUUGUUUUAAUGCACGCUCUUUGUUUUCAUGCUAGGAAUUGAGGAGUUGGGAUAGCUUCCGUCAUAACAAGAAGUACAAAGCUGAAAACUGAAAGUCAGCAGCUCUUCUGGAAUCUUGAGAUAACAUGUCAAGCCACUGCCCUCCAAAGCAAAGGUGGACAAGUAGAUACAGAGGUUUCCAGCUCCUGUGAACAGAAACCCCAAUGUCAGCCCUAGCCAGGAUCCAAAUGUGUAACUGAUGAAGGGCGAGAGGCUCGAUGGAUAAAGAACACAGAUGAGAUGCCUGGUAGUGUGACAACCACAGAACGGCUAAGCAACAAUGAAUUACUGAAAUUAAAGAAUCAGAGCUAGAAUUUAACACAUGGGAAUUGUGCUUGCAAGUGAAUGCAGGAAGGUUAAUGGUGAACACGAGAAAGCAGCCCAGACGGUCACUGUUUUGUCCUUCAUAGUGCUCAUUAGUGCCCGUCUACACAGAAAUUCUUCACUUGACCAGCUGGAGCUCUUCCUAGGAGUGCACAGUGAGUGA